rfam:Rattus norvegicus chromosome 11, whole genome shotgun sequence.
GGGGAUUUAGCUCAGCGGUAGAGCGCUUGCCUAGCAAGCACAAGGCCCUGGGUUCAGUCCCCAGCUCCG